rnacentral:rRNA from 1 species
UAACUGAAGAGUUUGAUCAUGGCUCAGAUUGAACGCUGGCGGCAGGCUUAACACAUGCAAGUCGAGCGGGGUGAUGUAGCUUGCUACAUUACCUAGCGGCGGACGGGUGAGUAAUGCUUAGGAAUCUGCCUAUUAGUGGGGGACAACAUUCCGAAAGGAAUGCUAAUACCGCAUACGUCCUACGGGAGAAAGCAGGGGAUC